rnacentral:rRNA from 1 species
UACGCUGGCGGCACGCCUAACACAUGCAAGUCGAACGAAGUAGCAAUACUUAGUGGCAGACGGGUGAGUAACAUGUAGGUAUCUACCCUAUGGCCUGGAAUAACACGAGGAAACUUGUGCUAAUACCGGAUAAGUCUUUACAGAGAAAGCUUUAUGCACCAUUGGAUGAGCCUGCACUUGAUUAGUUUGUUGGUGGGGUAAUGGCCUACCAAGACUGUGAUCAAUAGCUGAUUUGAGAGGAUGAUCAGCCACAUUGGGACUGAGACACGGCCCAAACUCCUACGGGAGGCAGCAGUGGGGAAUCUUGCACAAUGGAGGAAACUCUGAUGCAGCGAUGCCGCGUGAGUGAAGAAGGCCCUUGGGUUGUAAAGCUCUUUCGUCGGGGAAGAAAAUGACUGUACCCGAAUAAGAAGGUCCGGCUAACU